UACGUAGGGGGCAAGCGUUGUUCGGAAUUACUGGGCGUAAAGGGCUCGUAGGCGGCCAACUAAGUCGGAUGUGAAAUCCCCAGGCUUAACCUGGGAACUGCAUCCGAUACUGGAUGGCUUGAAUCCGGGAGAGGGAUGCAGAAUUCCAGGUGUAGCGGUGAAAUGCGCAGAUAUCAGGAAGAACACCCGUGGCGAAGGCGGCUCUCUGGGACGGUACUGACGCUGAGACGCGAAAGCGUGGGGAGCAAACAGG
rnacentral:rRNA from 1 species